CAGACGAUGCGUCAUGCAUAUCAAUAAGCGGAGGAAAAGAAACUAACAAGGAUUCCCUUAGUAACAGCGAGUGAAGCGGGAAGAGCUCAAAUUUGAAACCUUCAAGGUUUUACCUUGACGAAUUGUAGUUUAAAGAAGUGUUUUCUGUUGAAGUUUUGGUAAAAGUUCUUUGGAAUAGGACAUCAUAGAGGGUGAGAAUCCCGUAUUUGACCAUUAUUUUCAGCUGUGUGAUACACUUUCAAAGAGUCGGAUUGUUUGGGAAUGCAGUCCAAAAUGGGUGGUAAAUUUCAUCUAAAGCUAAAUAUUGGCGAGAGACCGAUAGCGAACAAGUACCGUGAGGGAAAGAUGAAAAGAACUUUGAAAAGAGAGUUAAACAGUACGUGAAAUUGUCAAAAGGGAAGCGUUUGACACCAGUGUUGUUUUCCUCGAAAAUCAAUUAAAAAGAGUUGGAUUUUGUGUUGUAUUGACCUUAACAGCUUGCUUCACUCUUUUCCUGCUUUUUUUAAUGCACUUUUCGUUUAACAAGUCAACAUCAGUUUCUUUUGUUGUAAAAGGGUCAUUGGAAGGUGGCUUUCUCUUCGGAGAAAGUGUUUAUAGCCUUUGAUCUCUGCAAUCGGAGAGACUGAGGUCUGCAGCGUAGAUCCUUCGGGGUUAGAUACAUUUGUGCUAAGCUACAGCUUUUCAUAGACAACUUGUUGACUAUGCUUCAGUCAUUGUAGCUUACUCCGCUUAUGCUAUUUUACCUACGCUUAGGAUGUUGAUAUGCAUGACUGAUAU
rnacentral:rRNA from 1 species